GGUGAACGCUAGCUACAGGCUUAACACAUGCAAGUCGAGGGGAAACGGCAUCGAAAGCUUGCUUUUGAUGGGCGUCGACCGGCGCACGGGUGAGUAACGCGUAUCCAACCUGCCCAUCACUUGGGAAUAACCUUGCGAAAGUAAGACUAAUGCCCAAUGACAUCCCACGAAGGCAUCCGAAUGGGAUUAAAGAUUUAUCGGUGAUGGAUGGGGAUGCGUCUGAUUAGCUUGUUGGCGGGGUGACGGCCCACCAAGGCAACGAUCAGUAGGGGUUCUGAGAGGAAGGUCCCCCACAUUGGAACUGAGACACGGUCCAAACUCCUACGGGAGGCAGCAGUGAGGAAUAUUGGUCAAUGGGCGAGAGCCUGAACCAGCCAAGUAGCGUGCAGGAUGACGGCCCUAUGGGUUGUAAACUGCUUUUAUAAGGGAAUAAAGUGGGUCACGUGUGACUUUUUGCAUGUACCUUAUGAAUAAGGACCGGCUAAUUCCGU
rnacentral:rRNA from 1 species